CGCAGGGCAAGGGCGCGCAGGAAGGUUUUCAGCAUCACGAGUUGAUCGGCAGGUUCCAGACCUGCGCCUGCGUC
rnacentral:tRNA from 1 species